CCUACGGGAGGCAGCAGUGAGGAAUAUUGGUCAAUGGCCGGAAGGCUGAACCAGCCAUGCCGCGUGAAGGUCAGUGCCCUAUGGGCGUUAAACUUCUUUUGUGCGGGAGCAAUAAUGGUCACGUGUGGCCAGACGAGAGUACCGUACGAAUAAGCAUCGGCUAACUCCGUGCCAGCAGCCGCGGUAAUACGGGGGAUGCAAGCGUUAUCCGGAUUUAUUGGGUUUAAAGGGUGCGCAGGCGGUCUGUUAAGUCAGCGGUCAAAGCCCGGGGCUCAACCCCGGCCCGCCGUUGAAACUGGCAGUCUCGAGUUGGAGAGAAGUAUGCGGAAUGCGCGGUGUAGCGGUGAAAUGCAUAGAUAUCGCGCAGAACUCCGAUUGCGAAGGCAGCUUACUAAACUGCCACUGACAUUGAUGCUCGAAAGUGUGGGUAUCAAACAGGAUUAGAUACCCUUGUAGUC
rnacentral:rRNA from 1 species